CCGCUAGCGUAUGACCUAGAGCUUGGUCCUGGAAGAUGGAAAAAGGGCUCCCUGAUGUUUUAGUUUGACGGGUGAGUAACACGUGGGUAACCUGCCUGUAAGACUGGGAUAACUCCGGGAAACCGGGGCUAAUACCGGAUGGUUGUUUGAACCGCAUGGUUCAGACAUAAAAGGUGGCUUCGGCUACCACUUACAGAUGGACCCGCGGCGCAUUAGCUAGUUGGUGAGGUAACGGCUCACCAAGGCGACGAUGCGUAGCCGACCUGAGAGGGUGAUCGGCCACACUGGGACUGAGACACGGCCCAGACUCCUACGGGAGGCAGCAGUAGGGAAUCUUCCGCAAUGGACGAAAGUCUGACGGAGCAACGCCGCGUGAGUGAUGAAGGUUUUCGGAUCGUAAAGCUCUGUUGUUAGGGAAGAACAAGUGCCGUUCAAAUAGGGCGGCACCUUGACGGUACCUAACCAGAAAGCCACGGCUAACUACGUGCCAGCAGCCGCGGUAAUACGUAGGUGGCAAGCGUUGUCCGGAAUUAUUGGGCGUAAAGGGCUCGCAGGCGGUUUCUUAAGUCUGAUGUGAAAGCCCCCGGCUCAACCGGGGAGGGUCAUUGGAAACUGGGGAACUUGAGUGCAGAAGAGGAGAGUGGAAUUCCACGUGUAGCGGUGAAAUGCGUAGAGAUGUGGAGGAACACCAGUGGCGAAGGCGACUCUCUGGUCUGUAACUGACGCUGAGGAGCGAAAGCGUGGGGAGCGAACAGGAUUAGAUACCCUGGUAGUCCACGCCGUAAACGAUGAGUGCUAAGUGUUAGGGGGUUUCCGCCCCUUAGUGCUGCAGCUAACGCAUUAAGCACUCCGCCUGGGGAGUACGGGUCGCAAGACUGAAACUCAAAAGGGAAUUGAACGGGGGGG
rnacentral:rRNA from 1 species